GGGCCAUAGCUCAAUGGUAGACCAUCUGCUUUACCUGCAGAAAGUCUUAGGUUCAACCCCCAGCAUCUCCA